rnacentral:rRNA from 1 species
CCAAAACUUUUUAACUAGAGUGUGAUAGAGGUAAGCGGAAUUUCUAGUGUAGAGGUGAAAUUCGUAGAUAUUAGAAAGAACAUCAAUUGCGAAGGCAGCUUUCUGGAUCAUUACUGACACUGAGGUGCGAAAGCAUGGGUAGCGAAGAGGAUUAGAUACCCUCGUAGUCCAUGCUGUAAACGAUGUGUGCUAGACGUUGGGAAUUUAUUUUCAGUGUCGCAGCGAAAGCAAUAAACACACCGCCUGGGGAGUACGACCGCAAGGUUAAAACUCAAAUGAAUUGACGGGGACCCGCACAAGUAGUGGAGCAUGUGGUUUAAUUCGAAGAUACGCGCAGAACCUUACCAACACUUGACAUGUUUGUCGCGACUCUAAGAGAUUGGAGUCUUCGGUUCGGCCGGACAAAACACAGGUGCUGCAUGGCUGUCGUCAGCUCGUGUCGUGAGAUGUUGGGUUAAGUCCCGCAACGAGCGCAACCCUCACUUUUAGUUGCCAUCAUUUAGUUGGGCACUCUGAAAGAACUGCCAGUGAUAAGCUGGAGGAAGGUGGGGAUGACGUCAAGUCCUCAUGGCCCUUAUGUGUUGGGCUACACACGUGCUACAAUGGCAUUGACAAUAGGAAGCAAGAUGGCAACGUCAAGCAAAUCCUAAAAAGAUGCCUCAGUUCGGAUUGUACUCUGCAACUCGAGUACAUGAAGCUGGAAUUACUAGUAAUCGCGGAUCAGCGCGCCGCGGUGAAUACGUUCCCGGGUCUUGUACACACCGCCCGUCACACCAUGGGAGUUGGUUCUACCUUAAGGCAAAGCUUAAAACCUUUGAUCACGGUAUAAUCAGCGACUGGGGUGAAGUCGUAACAAGGUAACC